rnacentral:lncRNA from 1 species
UAUCGUGUUUUUGACGACAAUAAUAAAUUAAUUUAGUUAGAAUACUUCCAAAAAUAUCAAAUAAGCAAUGCUUUUAGAGUUUUAACUCGCAGAUCUUGCUAUUCAACUUGGAUUUAGAAAUAACAGGUCGAAUAAUAUAAUCCAAAAGGCAUGAAUGAUCAAAGAAUCUUAAUUCAAGGAUGAAAAAAUUAGAAGCACUAAAGGACUGGUGCUUCUAAAAGCAUUCUGGAUGGACUCCGAGAACUGCUGCUAGAGUAAUUAGCUGUCAUCUAAAUGAUCGAAAAAUUUUCUUUUCAAAGCAAUAGAUCACAUCCAAAAAUCUCAUUUCUGAGCCCUAAUAUGUUUUUUUUUAGAGAUAGAUAACACGCUACCCACUUCGUUUAUUUCAUUUAUAAAUAAACUUAGCUAGAAAUAUGAAUCAAUUAGGAUUCGAACUUGGGUCUCGAAUACCAACUACCAGCCCGUUGCCACUUGCUCU